GGGUCAGUAGGUUGGUCGUGCCACCGGUACGUACUGGUCUCACUGAUUCCUCCUUCCUGAAGAACCGUAAUGCCAUUAAUUUGGUGUUGCGGGGAAACAGGACUGUUACUUUGAAAAAAUUAGAGUGUUUGAAGCAAGCUAACGCUUGAAUACAUUAGCAUGGAAUAAUGAAAUAGGACGAUCGAUCCUAUUUUAUUGGUUUCUAGGAUUGACGUA
rnacentral:rRNA from 1 species